ACUGCUCAGUAACACGUAGCUAACUUACCCUAACGCCGGUGAUAACCUCGGGAAACUGAGGCUAAUAACCGAUAGAAGAUUUCUACUGGAAUGUGAAAUCUUCCAAAGUUUGUGUUAGGAUAGGGCUGCGGCGGAUUAGGUUGUUGGCGGGGUAAUGGCCCACCAAGCCGAUGAUCCGUAAGGGCUCUUAGCGGAGAAGCCCUGAGAAGGAAUCUGAGACACUAUUCCUAGCCCUACGGGGUGCAGCAGUCGGGAAACUUCUGCAAUGCGCGAAAGCGUGACAGAGCAAGCCAGAGUGCAUUCCCGUAUUGGGAACGCUUUUGUGAGAUGUAAAAAGUCUCACGAAUAAGGACCGGGCAAGACUGGUGCCAGCCGCCGCGGUAAUACCAGCGGUCCAAGUCGCAAUCAGCUUUAUUGGGUCUAAAACAUCCGUAGCUUGUUUUGUAAGUCUCUUGUGAAAUACCACUUCUCAAGAUUGGAAGUGCAAGAGAUACUGCAAAGCUAGAGACCGGGAGACGUAAGGAGUACGGUUAGGGUAACGGUAAAAUGUGUUGAUCCUUUCUGGACUAACAACAGCGAAGGCACCUUACGAGAACGGAUCUGACAGUCAGGGAUGAAGGCUAGGGGCGCAAAACGGAUUAGAUACCCGUGUAGUCCUAGCAGUAAACACUGCUCACUAAACAUUGGGGCCUCUUCGAGAGGUUUCAGUGCUGUAGCGAAGGCGUAGAGUGAGCUACCUGGGAAGUAUAGUCGCAAGGCCGAAACUUAAAGGAAUUGGCGGGGGAG
rnacentral:rRNA from 1 species